rnacentral:rRNA from 1 species
UACGAGAGGUGCAAGCGUUAUUCGGAAUUAUUGGGCGUAAAGGGCGCGUAGGCGGCUUUAUAAGUUUUUUGUUUAAGAUCCCGGCCUAACCGGGAAAGUGCAAAAAAGACUGUAAGGCUAGAGUAUAAUAGAGAGAAGUGGAAUUUUCGGAGUAGCGGUUAAAUGCGUAGAUCUCGAAAGGAACGCCAAUGGCGAAGGCAGCUUCUUGGAUUAUUACUGACGCUGAGGCGCGAAGGCGUGGGGAGCAAACAGG